rnacentral:rRNA from 1 species
AGGACGAACGCUGGCGGCGUGCCUAACACAUGCAAGUCGAGCGGAAAGGCCUCCUUCGGGAGGUACUCGAGCGGCGAACGGGUGAGUAACACGUGGACAACCAACCCUUCACAUCGGGAUACCCCGGGGAAACUCGGAUCAAUACCGGAUAAUGCGCGACGCUGUUGGGCGUCGCACCAAAGGUAGCUUCGGCCUCUGGUGAAGGACGGGUCCGCGGCCCAUUAGCUUGUUGGUGGGGUAAUGGCCUACCAAGGCAACGAUGGGUAGCUGGUCUGAGAGGAUGAUCAGCCACACUGGGACUGAGAUACGGCCCAGACUCCUACGGGAGGCAGCAGUGGGGAAUAUUGCGCAAUGGGCGGAAGCCUGACGCAGCAACGCCGCGUGCGGGAGGAAGGCCUUCGGGUCGUAAACCGCUUUCGAGGGGGGACGAAGCCACCAGGGUUAAUAGCCCAGUGGGGGUGACCGGUACUCCCGAGAAGGAACGCCCCCGGGCUAACGUACGUGCCAGCAGCCGC